GAAGCCGAGCUGGCCUGGAUUCCCACCAUGGCCUGUGCCCUUCUCCUUCUUGUUCUGCUCGCAUACAGCUCAGGGGUCCGGUCGCAGCCUGUGGUGACUCAGGAGCCUUCAGAGGCUUUGGUGUCCCCAGGAGGGACUGUCACUCUGUCCUGCAGCCUGAGCACCGGAGCCAUCACCACUGGCAACUAUCCCUCCUGGUACCAGCAGAAACCUGGCUCUGCCCCUCAGCUGCUUAUUUAUGAAACUAAUAAGAGACCCUCCGGGGUCCCCACCCGGUUCUCUGGGUCCAUCUCUGGUCACAAGGCCGCCUUAACCAUCACCGGGGCCCAAGCUGAGGACAAGGCCAGCUACUACUGUUUUGAGUAUACUGGCAGCAACAAUGCAUGCUACCCUGUGUUUCGUGCUGAUGAGGAACUGAGACACAAACCUGAGAAGGCUUGUGAGAUCAGCCUGCACCAAGGUUUCCUGGCUGGGAAAGAUGCCAGGCCACAGCUGUGCCCCCUGGACUCAUCGCAAGAGCAGGAGAAAACGGGGGGUUGUGGGACAGAUAAACGGUGGAUUCCUCCUCGUGGGGAUUCAGUCCCUGAUAAGGAAGAACCCCCCUAA